GACGAACGCUGGCGGCGUGCCUAAUACAUGCAAGUUGAGCGAUGAAGAUUGGUGCUUGCACCAAUUUGAAGAGCAGCGAACGGGUGAGUAACGCGUGGGGAAUCUGCCUUUGAGCGGGGGACAACAUUUGGAAACGAAUGCUAAUACCGCAUAACAACUUUAAACAUAAGUUUUAAGUUUGAAAGAUGCAAUUGCAUCACUCAAAGAUGAUCCCGCGUUGUAUUAGCUAGUUGGUGAGGUAAAGGCUCACCAAGGCGAUGAUACAUAGCCGACCUGAGAGGGUGAUCGGCCACAUUGGGACUGAGACACGGCCCAAACUCCUACGGGAGGCAGCAGUAGGGAAUCUUCGGCAAUGGACGAAAGUCUGACCGAGCAACGCCGCGUGAGUGAAGAAGGUUUUCGGAUCGUAAAACUCUGUUGGUAGAGAAGAAAGUUGGUGAGAGUGGAAAGCUCAUCAAGUGACGGUAACUACCCAGAAAGGGACGGCUAACUACGUG
rnacentral:rRNA from 1 species